rnacentral:rRNA from 1 species
ACACAUGCAAGUCGAGGGGUAACAGGGUGCUUGCACCGCUGACGACCGGCGAACGGGUGCGUAACGCGUAUAGAAUCUGCCUUGUACAGGAGGAUAGCCUUUAGAAAUGAAGAUUAAUACUCCAUAGUGUAGAGAAGUGGCAUCACUUUUUUAUUAAAGAUUUAUCGGUACAAGAUGACUAUGCGUCCUAUUAGCUAGAUGGUAAGGUAACGGCUUACCAUGGCAACGAUAGGUAGGGGGUCUGAGAGGAUUAUCCCCCACACUGGUACUGAGACACGGACCAGACUCCUACGGGAGGCAGCAGUGAGGAAUAUUGGUCAAUGGAGGCAACUCUGAACCAGCCAUGCCGCGUGCAGGAAGACUGCCCUAUGGGUUGUAAACUGCUUUUAUACAGGAAGAAACAGUCGUACGUGUACGGCCUUGACGGUACUGUAAGAAUAAGCACCGGCUAACUCCGUGCCAGCAGCCGCGGUAAUACGGAGGGUGCAAGCGUUAUCCGGAAUCAUUGGGUUUAAAGGGUCCGCAGGCGGUCAAUUAAGUCAGAGGUGAAAUCCCAUAGCUUAACUAUGGAACUGCCUUUGAUACUGGUUGACUUGAGUUAUACGGAAGUAGAUA